rnacentral:rRNA from 1 species
UACGUAGGUGACCAGCGUUGUCCGGAUUUACUGGGCGUAAAGAGCGCGCAGGCGGUCGUUCAAGUCGAGUGUGAAAGCCCCCGGCUCAACUGGGGAGGGUCACUCGAUACUGAUCGACUUGAAGGCAGGAGAGGGAAGCGGAAUUCCCGGUGUAGUGGUGAAAUGCGUAGAUAUCGGGAGGAACACCAGUGGCGAAGGCGGCUUCCUGGCCUGUUCUGACGCUGAGGCGCGAAAGCUAGGGAGCAAACAGGGG